CACGUAGGCACCAAGCGUUGUCCGGAUUUAUUGGGCGUAAAGAGCUCGUAGGCGGCUUGUCGCGUCGUCCGUGAAAACUUGUGGCUUAACCACAGGCUGGCGGUCGAUACGGGCAGGCUAGAGUUCGGUAGGGGAGACUGGAAUUCCUGGUGUAGCGGUGAAAUGCGCAGAUAUCAGGAGGAACACCGGUGGCGAAGGCGGGUCUCUGGGCCGAUACUGACGCUGAGGAGCGAAAGCGUGGGGAGCGAACAGG
rnacentral:rRNA from 1 species